GUUAGCAGUACUUGCAUAGGAUUAUGGGAGAAGGGAAGUAAAAAGAAGCCAUUGCAACAAGAUGAUCUGGCCCCAGUUAUUUGAUUAGGCCUUCACAUGCCACUAGUUUAGUUGGUUCACCUGUUUUCAUUCUUCUGCUUUGGAAAAUGUUUUAGCAGAGUAACUAAGGGGGUGAUCCUAUACUUGAGAUCUGCCAACUGAAGGGCUAUAGGAUUCCACUGUGCUGGAAGAACCCAAGAUAUGCAGCCAGUACAAAAGGUAACACUGGUGGAGCACCCCAGAUAGGCUGUUGGGACACUGUUCCAACAGCAAAAACUUGCCACCAAAAUGGCCCAAACAGGGUUAAAUCAGGGGUGGAAUGUCGGUGACACAGGGAGGAGCAAACUUAUGCCAGAUCUUAUUCUGUGCCCUUCAAUCCAUGGCCAAACACCCAUCAACAGCGCAACUUUAUACCAGUGUCAUAUUUCUCUCAGCUAAAUUCAGUGAUGGGAAGAAAAUAUCAGAAAAACAGCUGCCCCCGUAUUUACAACUGCCCCACACAUAUCACUACAGCAGAGUGUAAGAUAUGGUGUAACUCAUCACCCAAUUGUAGCAGCACCAGUAUCAUUCUAACCCCACCUAAGGAGACCUUAAUAAUAAUAACAGGGCACAUGGCUUGGGACUGUGUCUCAUUGGUCACAUUGAUGUUUGUUUUUGACCAUGUCUUAUUAAAGCAGCCCAUGAUGAAGCUAAUUACAUUAAUAACCAAAUAAGGAGUGAAGAUUCGAGCUUUGCACAUUAGCAAUAAAUUCUCUUCUCAGACUAUAUGUUUCUUGUCAAUAUUUUAACAGUUAGCUUUACUCAAAACAGCUGCGCCUGCAUUUAUUGAAAUUGCUUUGUAGACACCACCCUCCCAAAGGCACCUAGAGACUACCAAUGGGGCUACUCAUCAAGUAAUUGGUUGCAGGAUUGUUUCUACAGUAUUUACACAAUGAGAGUAAGCACAUAAACAAAUGUCAUAGCAGGGGCAGAAUUAGGCGUGUGAACAUUUAAGGGAAUCCGAGCACCACAGGUGAGAAUAUGUGCUGGUUGGCACUAUCAUUUAUGUUCAUUCCUGAAAAAUGAUAGCAUCCCCACAGCUACCCGGAGAGCAACAAGAGAAACAGGAAGACUGAGAGCCCCAAAGUUCUUCUAGCACUUAGAGCUUAGGAAGUGAUUAAUGAACUUAUUGAAUCACGAUAAAUUUUUUAAGAGAGCUCCGGCUCCCUCCACAAAAAGCUUUUAAAAAUUAAAGUCCUGCAUUAGUGCUCUGCAUAUUGUGCUGCCUUAACGGGGAGAGUCUCAAAUGCAACAGAGCCAUUUCAUUAAGGCCAGAGCAUGGACUCAGCCCUGCUUUCUCAAAGCCUCAAGCGAAGGCACUGAUUGUGGUGGCAUUUUUUAUGGCAGGAGUGCUUUGCUUAAUCACGGCAGGGAGGGGCCAGAUGUUCCAUUCUGCUGCCCCUCCUCAAAUGAGACUGGGUGGAGUAUUAGAAGAUUUGUCUCCCCAGAAAAGGCCACAGUGUUGGAGAGAACAAACAUCUGCUGCAAGAAUGUGAGUAGGAGACACUGGCAGAGCAAGGAAAAACAGAAGCAAAGCAAUCCUUUUUAGCCUAAUGCCCUGUACAGCCUGUGUGUGAAGCAGUGGAGUAGCUGAGAACAACCUCAGCAAAACUGUGGUGCUAUGGAAAACUAGGCUGAUUUACUGGGGAUGGGGUGUGUGUGUGUGUGUGUUUCUUUCUAACUUCAGUGCACGCUACGUUCUGAUGUGCAACCCAUUCACACAACAGUUGAGAAAAUUGAUUUUAACAGCUUCGUAUAUUUUUCCUUUCUCAACUGCUAUUUGUACUCAGUUGAUCAUUAUAUUUGUUUUUACUCAUUCUUGUUAGAUGCCUUGAGCUCUGUGUGAGGAAAGGUGAAGUGCAUAGCACCCAAGUGUCCCCAUUUAAUUGGGACAUUCCAGAUUGACAGAAUCCACCCCAGCUUUUGAUCCCAACCCCAGAUGUCCUGUUUUAGAUCUCGUGCUCUGGCUGUGCAGGAGCACGGGACCAAAAGACAGGCAUUUUUUGGUUCCGUGCUAUGACACGAGUCAGCUGGCUCACACCAUAGCAUGGGACCAAAAGACAGAAUGAAAACUUACCUUGACCCUGCUCCUCACCAGUCCAGGUCUGUUAAUAUGGGGAGAGGCGGUCCUUGAGGUUUUGUGGUUCUGAGCCGUUUAAGGCUUCUUAGGUCAAAAGCAGCUCUUUGAAUUCGGCCCGGAAACUAAUUGGCAGCCUGUGCAGUUGGGCCAGGAUCAGUGUAAUAAGAUCAUACUAUCUUGGCCUGCUGAGCAAUUUGGUUGCUGAAUUCUGCACCAGCUGAAGUUUCUGAACCAUCGUCAGAGGCAGCCCCACAUAUAACGCAUUGCAGUAAUCAAACUUAGAGGUUACCAGAGCAUAGACAACAGAUGUUAAGCUAUCCCUGUCCAGACAGAGAUGCAGCUGGGCCACCAGCCGAAGCUGAUGGAAGGCACCCUAUGCCACUGAGACCACCUGAGUUUCUGGAACCUGGUGGGAUAAGUCCCACGAUUGGAAUGUAAUAAUGGAGGGAUACAAUCUAUUUCAGAGAAACAGACCAGACAAGAAAGGAGGAGGAGUGGCGUUAUAUGUCAGGGAUGUGUAUACCUGUGAAGAGAUCCAAGAUUUAGAACCUCAAAGCCAAAGUGAGAGCAUUUGGGUCAAAAUUAAGGGAGAGAAGAAUAACAGUGACCUCAUUGUGGGAGUUUACUAUAGAUCCCCAAGCCAAACGGAGGACAUAGAUGAUGCCUUCCUGGAACAGAUGGCCAAGCAUGCAAAAGGCAGGGAGAUAGUAGUAAUGGGGGACUUCAAUUACCCGGAUAUUUGUUGGAUGUCAAACUCAGCCAAGAGCAUAAGGUCAAACAGAUUCCUCACUGGCCUUGCAGACAACUUAAUUGUCCAGAAAGUGGGAGAAGCAACAAGAGGAACAGCCAUUUUAGAUCUGGUCCUAACCAAUGUUGAUGACCUGGUUAGUGGGGUAGAAGUGGAAGGAUCAUUAGGCGCGAGUGAUCAUGCUCUUCUGAAGUUUACUAUACAGUGGAAAGGAGCAGCCAAGCAUACUAGGACUCAAUUUCUUGACUUUAAGAAAGCCGACUUCAUAAAACUUAGGGAAGUGCUGGGUGAGAUCCCAUGGACAGUAAUACUAAAAGGAAAGGGAGUUCAUGAUGGCUAGGAGUUUGUUAAGAGGGAGAUAGUAAAAGCACAACUUCAGGCAAUACCAAUGAGACAGAAACAUGGAAGGUGCCUAAAGAAGCCAGGGUGGCUAUCUAAAGAACUUUUAACUGAGUU
rnacentral:lncRNA from 1 species